UCCUCCGCUUAUUGAUAUGCUUAAGUUCAGCGGGUAUCCCUACCUGAUCCGAGGUCAACCUUGGAAAAAUAAAGUUGGGUGUCGGCUGGCGCCGGCCGGGCCUACAGAGCAGGUGACAAAGCCCCAUACGCUCGAGGACCGGACGCGGUGCCGCCGCUGCCUUUCGGGCCCGUCCCCCGGGAGAGGGGGACGGGGGCCCAACACACAAGCCGUGCUUGAGGGCAGCAAUGACGCUCGGACAGGCAUGCCCCCGGGAAUACCAGGGGGCGCAAUGUGCGUUCAAAGACUCGAUGAUUCACUGAAUUCUGCAAUUCACAUUACUUAUCGCAUUUCGCUGCGUUCUUCAUCGAUGCCGGAACCAAGAGAUCCGUUGUUGAAAGUUUUAACUGAUUACGAUAAUCAACUCAGACUGCAUACUUUCAGAACAGCGUUCAUGUUGGGGUCUUCGGCGGGCGCGGGCCCGGGGGCGCAAGGCCUCCCCGGCGGCCGUCGAAACGGCGGGCCCGCCGAAGCAACAAGGUACGAUAGACACGGGUGGGAGGUUGGACCCAGAGGGCCCUCACUCGGUAAUGAUCCUUCCGCAAGGUUCACCUACGGA
rnacentral:misc_RNA from 1 species